rnacentral:rRNA from 1 species
GACGAACGCUGGCGGCGUGCUUAACACAUGCAAGUCGAACGGAAAGGCCCUGCUUUUGUGGGGUGCUCGAGUGGCGAACGGGUGAGUAACACGUGAGUAACCUGCCCUUGACUUUGGGAUAACUUCAGGAAACUGGGGCUAAUACCGGAUAGGAGCUCCUGCUGCAUGGUGGGGGUUGGAAAGUUUCGGCGGUUGGGGAUGGACUCGCGGCUUAUCAGCUUGUUGGUGGGGUAGUGGCUUACCAAGGCUUUGACGGGUAGCCGGCCUGAGAGGGUGACCGGCCACAUUAGGCCUGGGAUACGGCCCAGACUCCUACGGGAGGCAGCAGUGGGGAAUAUUGCACAAUGAGCGGAAGCCUGAUGCAGCAACGCCGAGUGCGGGAUGACGGCCUGCGGGUUGUAAACCGCUUUCGCCUGUGACGAAGCGUGAGUGACGGUAAUGGGUAAAGAAGCACCGGCUAACUACGUG